rnacentral:rRNA from 1 species
UACGUAGGAUGCAAGCGUUGUCCGGAAUUAUUGGGCGUAAAGAGCUCGUAGGCGGUUCGUCGCGUCGGCUGUGAAAACCUGAGGCUCAACCUCAGGCCUGCAGUCGAUACGGGCGGACUUGAGUACUGCAGGGGAGACUGGAAUUCCUGGUGUAGCGGUGAAAUGCGCAGAUAUCAGGAGGAACACCGGUGGCGAAGGCGGGUCUCUGGACAGUUCCUGACGCUGAUGCACGAAGGCCAGGGGAGCAAACGGG